UUUAUUUAUUUAUUUAUUUUUUAGCGUUUGUUUUGUUUGAUGUGUUUGUUUCUUUUGAUGUCAUUUUAUAGUGGGUUUGUAAUUAAAAUGAUACCCAAAUAGUUAUAUUUUGAUUUUAGUCUCAAAUUAAGCAGUUUGAUCAUGGGUUUUGUGAACUUGAACCAUGUACAUUGGGAAAUUUAGUAAGGGUCUCGUUUUGAGUUCCUCUGCGAAAUGCAAUGAUGCUUUGUGAUCCAUGGAAGUGCAAGCAUUGGGCAGGAGAAUGCCAUUCGCCAUUACUUCAUGUUUUUUAUGUGGGCAUUAACCAAGGCAGAUCGGAUCGUACGGCUUUGAAAUUUUGUAGUGGCUUAUGUUGUUGGGCCUUGUGUAAUGGAGUGUGAUAUUGGUCAUGUUAUUGAUAAUUCAGUCGUCUUGUGACAGAUUGAAAAAGCAAUAUUAUUAAUGGAAGUAGCGGUUUUGUGUUGACCUCUUAGGGCCAUUGUUGCCUUCACCAUCAUUUGUCCUCUUUGGUUUUUUUUAUCUUACUGAGAUUAUGUAUAAUAUAGGCAUUGUCACAAUGAUACAAUCAGUCACAAUAAUUCUUAAUCAUCUUGAUCAACUAAACAGUCAGUUUAUGUAAAGUGUUAUCCUUGUGUGGUUGUAUAUUGCUAAUAGAAAGACAAGUGAAGUUCAUUUUAGCCAAUGCAUUCUCUUAUGAGUGUCAAUCAUUGGUGGAUAGCUAAUAGUUGUUAAAUCUCCAAUGGCCGGACAAAAGCAUCUGGUUACAAUAAAAAAGCGGCAAAUUGUUGGCCGUUUUGCACUGCCAACAACAGCUGCUCAAAUUUUCCAUCCUCUUUAUUUUUCCUUUUCCACACACACAUUUAUUCGCUUGAUUCUUUGAACUAUAAAAAUUAUACAAUGGA
rnacentral:misc_RNA from 1 species